AGGAUGAACGCUGGCGGUCUGCUUAACACAUGCAAGUCGAACGGAGUACCUCGGUACUUAGUGGCGGACGGGUGAGUAACGCGUGAGAAUCUGCCCUUAGGUCGGGGACAACCAUUGGAAACGAUGGCUAAUACCGGAUAAGCCGAGAGGUAAAAGAUUAAUUGCCUAGGGAAGAGCUCGCGUCUGAUUAGCUAGUUGGUGAGGUAAAGGCUCACCAAGGCAUCGAUCAGUAGCUGGUCUGAGAGGAUGAUCAGCCACACUGGGACUGAGACACGGCCCAGACUCCUACGGGAGGCAGCAGUGGGGAAUUUUCCGCAAUGGGCGAAAGCCUGACGGAGCAAGACCGCGUGAGGGAGGAAGGCUCGUUGGGUUGUAAACCUCUUUUCUUGGGGAAGACAAAAUGACGGUACCCAAGGAAUCAGCAUCGGCUAACUCCGUGCCAGCAGCCGC
rnacentral:rRNA from 1 species